ACCAUAAAUGUUUUGUCUUUUUUUUUUUUUGAGGUGAUAAUUCAUGAAAAUUUGAAUUCAUAUUCGCCACAAAUAUCAAUUAUUCAUAAUGAAAGUCAGAUGUGAAGUGUGAAAAGUAACUCAUUACUGACCACAGGUCUAGUAGCUUGGCCGCUUGUUAAAAAAGUAUUAUAUUACUUUGCUCAAAGCAAUACAUAAUGUAUUAUGCCGCUAAUUAAAACAAAAAAAUAGAGAGAGAAUAAAAAAAAUUUUAUCCAGAAUUUUUUUUGCCAAAACGUUUUCUUUAAAAAUUGGCUGCUUUCAGCAGAGGCAGAUUUGCACCAUCUAAAUCCUAACUGCAGUUCAGUUAAUUUUUUUUGUGUAUGCAAAAACCAGUGUUUUGUCCACAUAGAUAUGAAGAUGAAGAAUUUAUGUUAGAAGUUGAGUAUGUAUUGAAGAAUGCUUUAUUUUGACUUGGUUGAGGUAUAGCUAAGUUUUCCUGACAUUGGACCUGUUUUAAACAUUGAAAAAGUGAGGUGUCUGUCUGAGGUGUGUAUGUGCGUGUGUGUGUGUGGAUGUGUGUACAUGUACCUCAGCUGUUCCUUUCUGUUUUAACAGCUCAAUUCCAUUGUUUGAUGAAGCUGUGUGCAAUACUUAUUUUGCCAAUAUUAUGUUGUAUUGAAAAAUAAAGCUAAAUAGAAUU
rnacentral:sRNA from 1 species